rnacentral:rRNA from 1 species
GACGAACGCUGGCGGCGUGCUUAACACAUGCAAGUCGAGCGGUAAGGCCCUUUCGGGGUACGACGAGCGGCGAACGGGUGAGUAACACGUGGGUGACCUGCCCUUAGCUCUGGGAUAAGCCUGGGAAACGUGGGUCGUAAUACCGGAUAUGACUCCAUGACGCAUGUUGUGGGGUGGAAAGCCUUGUGCGGCUAGGGAUGGGCCCGCGGCCUAUCAGCUUGUUGGUGGGGUGAUGGCCUACCAAGGCGACGACGGGUAGCCGGCCUGAGAGGGCGACCGGCCACACUGGGACUGAGACACGGCCCAGACUCCUACGGGAGGCAGCAGUGGGGAAUCUUGCGCAAUGGGCGAAAGCCUGACGCAGCGACGCCGCGUGAGGGAUGACGGCC